AGUAAUGGUUUUAUGUAUGGUGCCAUGUAUCAUUUCAUGUUUUAGAAGUACAAUUAGCAAGAUGAUUUCAAAUGAAACUCUACCUCAUAUCAUGGCCCUAUACAGAGCUUUACCUCAGGAAUAUGAUGAAGGUCAAGCUAUCAAGGACACUUGGGCUGAAGGUACUUGAGCUUGAAAGGGGGGAAUGAGGCAUCUGAUCAAGGCUUGUAUUUUAAAAUGAGCUUAAAAAAUAUAUUUGUAAAUGUUUGUAUCUUUCAAGCCAGGCAGAAACCAGCUGGCUAAGUACUUUGGCAGAUGUUUAUCUCCUUGAACAGCCCCCCCCCCGAUUUAUAACAGGAGACACGUUUCUCAAAGUUGUAAAAGGAAAUUACAGGCUGGGAGCAAAAGGUCAUACUGACCAUACAAAUUACAGAAUACAAUCAAGCUGCAAAAACACAAUUAAGAGUUGGUAAAUAGUGAGAUUUAUUGUUUAACAGAAAAUAAUACUAGGUGCCUCCCAAUAGACUUGAGCCAUAUUUUCAUAAGGUUAAAGGGCAAGAGCUAAUAAGAACAGCAGCUGGCUUGAAAGGGGGGUGUAAAUUUAAGGGGUUGCUUUUGGAAACUGUUUUUACUAAGUUCCUUUCCUUUUAAAAGCUACAUAUGUUAAUGUAUGAAAUAUAUUGGCUUAAAUGUAAUUAUGCAAAGGAUCUAGAAAGUAAGAAAUGUUAGAUUCUUAUGUUAGAUUCUUAUUUCAUUGAUGGUGUGUGAGAAGGUGAACCCAAGAUCUCUGUUACCAUGAGCCAUCUGUUUUAGCCAUCUGUUUUGGAGUGAAGGGCAAUAGGGUAGUAGGGCAAUAGGGCAAAAACGAUAUCUGGAAAUUAAGGUCCCUAGAAGAGGCAAAUAUAAGAUAUAUGGCUACUUGUCUGCCAUUUAUGGAUAGAAGGAAAUAUAGCUCUUUGUCUCCCAUAAAAGGUAAUAGGAAAUGGGUGUAUCUUUUAUGAUUGGUUCUAGCAAACAGCCAAUAGGAAUUUCAACCAGGCUGAUUGGACAGAGGCAGCCAAAGGAGGAGCAAGGGGCUGGGCUGAGGAAAUAUAAGUGCUGGCCAUCAGGGCUGGAGGGGGCAGAGCUUUGGUAUCCAUAUACCACUGUGUCUCUCAUUUAUUUGUCUGACAAAGAAAUUAUUAUUUUAAUUUCUCUAUUGCUGCGUUGAAUAUUUCAUUCCAGCUAAGCGUUAACCACAAGCAGGGUGCUACAAUGUCUCACUCCUGAAAAUGUGAAUUAAACACCUCUGUUCAUCUGCAGGCAGGCCAUCCCAAGUGACCAAGGCUCCUGUGUCUGAGCAUAUCUAUUAGUGUGCUGAGUCCAAAAUCACAGGGACACAGAAAGAGAAUGAGAGAGAGAGAAGCAAGAUUAGCUUGAAAGCCCAUGGAAGCUUCAUGCAUAAGGAAGUCUCCCUCUGUUCUAUUUCUAUUAUUAGACCGAACAAAUUGUCCUACUAUUAUUAAUCCUUUCAGUUACUCAUAUUUACUCAUGAUGUCUUUGUGUUCUUGGCACUACAAUUUCUUUCAUCCUCAAAUAAUUCGCUUUUAUGGGUGGAGCUUUAGGAAGUUGCCCUGCAACUAUUUGUCUCCUGGUCUCCUUUACUCUCAUUGUAAUAAACACGCAGGACCAACAGAGCCCACCAACUCUUUGUCUAUAUCUUUGCUUAACUCAGAAACCCCCAGUCUGCAGCCCUCCAGAUAUUUCAGAUUGUAACUUGACAAAACCUCCACCCAGAAAAGGAGGGAAAUGAUGACUUUUAUGUCAUGUAGUGUUUGGUUAUUUACCAGAUGGAGGGGGGUGCCAUUCCUGAUAGGGAUGACUCCCCCUAUGGGAGAAAGGAAGGGUCUUCAACUUGCAACAUUCUCUGCGGAGGGCAGGAAUCACCCCGUCUCUCCAGACCAAGCCUGCCUGCUGCAAAGGUGGUUGGGUCUUCAUGUCUCUCUGUGUGUGUAAAGAGAAACCCUUGCUUGAGUGCUUGUGUUGUGGGGUUUCCCCCUUUGUCUAGUCCUCUCCUUCAUCCUAUUUGCUAGAUCAUCAUUCUAUUAAAAUAGGAACAUUCUAAGGAAAUGUGGGACAUUCCAGGAUCAAAUCAGAAACUGGGACAGCUUCUCUAAAUCAGGGAUGUCCCUGGAAAAUAGGGACACUUGGAGGGUGUGGUGUUAUGGUUCUGUUCAGUUGUCUUAUUGUAUUUUCUUAUAAACCUAUGGAAACCGCAAAAGUUGUGUUUCAACCCUGAGCCACAAGUCAUACGAAUGAGAAUCACCCUUCAAUCAAAUUCCUUUGGUUUCUCUUUAACAAUGCCUGUGUUGAGUUUUGAUCAAAAUCUGCAAGUCAUGCAGCUCCCUGUUUACUGUAAAAACUUCCAUCUCAGCUAAUUACUGAUAGAAACUCAAGAUGGUAAAAAUAUUAUGUACCAUUCCCCAGUCCCAACUCAAACAUAAAUGCCAACUAUUAACAUAUGAAGUCAAAAGCACAAUAACCCAUUCCAAGAAGAGAUGUCCUCUCCAACAAGGUUUAAUUGAAAAGGAGACAUACCAAGAGCAGGAGAAAACACAGGAGCUGGAGACAAGGGUUGGCUACUCACAUUAGUGGGGAAAAACGUAUGUGGGGAGCCCUUUUAUACAGUUUCAUUCACCACUACCAAGUUUGAGUCAGUCCUAGAGAACUAAUUGCUAUUUGCAAUCUGGCUACACUUCCUGGGUAUUUGCUAUUUUGGGCACUCAGCUCUGAAACAGUCCCAUCAAUCACAUCCCCACAGCGCUCUUUUAAUUUGAUUUUAUGAACCUCAUUUGGAAUGACUUCUUGAAUUUGUUAAUUGCCUUGUGGGUUGGUUUCCACUCCAUUUGAUUAGUGCUUUGGAAGUUUAAUUUGAAAAACAACAACCAAGAAGCCAAUGUUGGCCAUGGUGGAGUGCUGGUGCCUGCCAAGAUGAGCAGUGGCCCAUUGCGAUUUCUAUACUGAUUGUACUUGUUUGGCAUCUCCUGCAGGGUUUUUGCACCACUGCUGCUAGAUCAUGGAGGAGAAAGGAUGGCUUAGCCAAUGCAAACCUCCCAUGCUGCAGGGCUUUUUGGAGGGCAUGGGAGACUAUUCGGUCAUCCAGAUUCCAUGACGUCAGCCUCCUCUAAAUUCCACUUAGGAGCUUUGAGGUACUGUGUCAGUCCUGGAGAAUCAAAAUUGUUAUGUGUAUCCUGGCAAAAUGAUUACACAUUCAUAUUAAUGUUCACACCAUUUCUCUCUGCAGGUAUUUCAUGUGCUAUACUCAAAAAAGUUCUCUCUCACAUGCAGUUGUGGUUAAGCUUGAGAUGGAGCCAGCAGCUCAUUUUGGAAGUUCACUUUGUUCCUGCUAAUUGGUUUGCAAUGUUGUUCCCGUCAUGCUUGAUGUAAUGUUGCUUUCAUCGGCAUGGUUCUGAGUUGCAAUAAUGGGUGUUUCUAUGACAAAAUAAUUUUGUACCACAUUUUGUGAGCUUCAGUGUUCUUUUUAAUUAGCUAGAAGUAUUCUUGCUUUCAUUACUGGUUUUGAGCCAAAAUGAUUGAUGCAUCAUUUCAGAUUUUGGCAUGUUUGGUGUAUGUCAUCUCAGCUCUAUUCUGAUCCAUGUUUGUAUAAUGUGCAAAACAUGAUUGGCGUCUCUCCUUCAGGUGAGAGCAGGGGCACAGCCACUAGUUGUUAUUGGGGGAAAGUAGCAAUGAGGUUAUCCUACUCCCAUCUCUCUCUGUUGGAUGUGAGGAUGGGUAAAGACAUUAACUGAAAGUCUUUUCUUGCAAUGUCUAUGAAAAUAUGGUCAAAAUAUUUCAAUGUCAGACUCUCUUUUUCUCAUUCCCUAGCUCACUUUCCAAAAGUCAUUCAGUGUUUGUUUUGUUUUGUUUAGGUAUUUGUCAAAUUUAACCCGCCCCUUUACAAUGAAGCCUCAUGAGACAAAGUGAAGGUGAAAAGGAUAUAUUUAUUAAUUUAACCAAUGAAAGAUAUGCAACCCACAAUGAUCAAAUUCAAAAAGUACAAGCAGGGCAGUAUUUUUUCUAAUUUGGGCAGGCAAGCAAACAGCCAGAGUUCUAGGCUGGUUUCUAACCAACUCUUCUUCCUGAAAUUCACUGGAACACACUGGGAGCCCAAGCAGAAAGAUCAAGGGCUACAAUGGUACCUCAGUUUCCGAACGCAAUCCAUUCCGGAAAACUGUUUGAGUUCCAAAACGUUAGAUAACUGAAGCAUUUUCUUCCGGAAGCAUUUAAUUAUGGGAAACUCAAUAUGGAAGUCGUGUGGCCAGUUCGACUUCCGAAAAGUAUUCGAAAACUGAAGCAGUUCCAGGUUUUCGGCAUUAGAAAACCUAAACGUUUGACUUUUGAGAUGCUCAGAAACCGAGAUACCUAUGAAUCAGGAAGUAGAGUGUCAGCCAGAAACACACACUGUGGAAUAGACCCCCAAUCAGGAUAGAAUCCUCCACUUCCCAGCCAGAAAGGGGAGGCUAAUACUGAGCUAGAAGGACCAACGGCCAGACUACACAAGAAAGCUCCCUUUGAGGCUGAUGUCCCCUGAAUUCAAUUUAGAGGGCUUUGUUUAAAGCAAACAUAUAUAGGGAUUAUACGGGAAAGUUAAAACGGAUUCUAAAAGAAUCAGAUAAAGCUGCAGACUGGAAAGAUGGGGAUUACACUUAUCUCUGGAAUUCAGUGGACAGAGGGCUUACAGCCUUGAAGGGAAUAGUUUCCUUAUGAAGGGAGGUAGGGCACUAAUUUUUAUAAGUGUAUUACAUAACCACAGGAGUGAAUAGGAGGAUAAUAAAACGGGAAUGGAAUUUUAUAAAGCACAUGCUAAUGAAUACAGGGUGGUUCAGGGAUAGCUGGAUGAAGUUCAGUUCCAAUAAAUAUUCGGGGCCUUUGAGGGUAGGACACCUGAAGGCAGUUUUACUUCACAAGGGAGGGACUUGCAGUCAUGGAAACAUAUAAAAGGACUUGCCGCCCAUGACUCGAACAAGAGCUCCCCUCACCUUCACCUGAGUACUUCUCUUGAGACCUUGGUAAGUGAGAAAACCCCAUGCCUUUUGCUGCCUAUUCCUGUCCAAACUUCACUCUCUUUGUCUCCUUCUUUGAACCUUGGCCUGCCUCUCCUUGCUCAUCUUCUUUCUCAUUUCCUAGGGCACUUGGGAGAAUUAGAUAUGUAGGAAGGGAUGGGGAAUAUCUAUGUUCCUCCCAGAGAUGCUGGACUACAACUCCCAUCAUUCUUGGCCAUUGGCUGUGCCAGCUGGGUGUUGGAGUCCAACAGCAUCUGGAGGGCCAAAGAUGCCCCCCCCCCAAUUCCUGGUCCACAUGGACUGGUGGUGGCUGUCCCACGAUUCAUGCAGGGCCCUUUCAUGCAGGGCCUACCUUGAGAUGCCAGAGAUUCAACAUGCAGUUUUAUUUAAUGCAAUAUAUAGUCUAUGAAUCUAUCACAUAUAUUCAGAAUUCUGGAAAAUGAGCUUAUUGUCAUUUGUUUCUUCAAAGUGUAUUUAACCUACAUUUCUACAAAAGCCUCCAAGAAGAUCUUUCAAAUGCUCAUUUUCUGCUCACAGGCUUGAAACCUAAAAAGCACAGCACUAAAGGAAACAGGGAUGAGGAGGGCAGAGGUCUUUAAGUGGCUCAUCCAUGUUUUUCUUACAAAUGUGAGGCUGUUUCCUAGGAUGUGUUGAUCCCAACCUCUAUUCACUGUGAAUUUCUUCUUCUUCUGUGCUUUUGCUAUGGAAUUUAUCUCCACCUAAGGGGCAUUUUUUUAAUGCUUCCAACUUGUAUUCCACUCGAAACAUGAAACAACUCUGAAUGUGCAUGUAUGAUCUUUGUAAUCAGUAUCAACAUCUGAAUUACUGCAAAGCCUUCAAGGUUGUUCUUCCUCUGUUUCUGGAAUGUAAAAUGUCCUCUGACUUCUUCUUUCCCAUUAAACUUAGUUUCAGCAUAGAACCUGUUCUCUGUGGGUUUCUUUCAUGUUUUCUCCUCACUCCAACAUCAACACCCACACUUUUUCCUUGCACUGAUCCAGUACACUGGGCUAACUGUUACGUCUGCCUAUGUCUAUUAUUGUCCUCAGAGCAAAAUUGCAGCAUAGAUUAGACACACUAUGAUACAACUUUCAGCAGUCAUGGCUUCCCUCCCUGUUUUGAGCACCCUUAAAACAGUACAGCUCAUGGAAUACUGAACUGCUGUAUUCUACAAAAGCAGAAUAGUCUGCUGCAAGAACCGUUCCAUGCCCAUUAAGUGUGGGAUGUCUUUGCCUGGUGACCCACAGACUGCAUCAGAAUACUGGGCAAAGUUUUCCCAGUAUCUUGUCUGUGUGAUGUGGCUGAUGGGAAAAGCUGUCCCAUAAGCAAAGAGGAGCCGAAAGCCUGCAUCAGGCUGCUUCCCCUGGAACUCAGAGCUACCAACACAAAGUAGGAUUAAAGCCGCAUAAUGGAACUGGGAAUUGGACAGUACCAAUGCAGAGCCUGUGGGGAAAUAAACUCCAUACUAUGUACCAUAAGCAUAUCUCUUCUUUAGAAAGCAGAAAACAACCCAUGGCCUAUUUAAAGGACAAUAACUUCAUAAUCGGAAAAUAUUUUUAGCUCUAGCUGGGGGAAAAGAAACGGGUAUUCCAAAAUUGAGACAAAGUGGAUUUAUUCAUCUUCUUGAUCAACAUAGCUCGCUCAUGAAAAUGUGAAUUAAUCACCUCUGCUCAUCUGCAGGCAGAAUACAUCACUGGAUAUGAGGAAAGGGAAAUAUGCUGCCGGAACAGCAAUAUCUCUCGUGUUCUGCAAUUAUGUCAUCAGGGGACCUCAAGCAGUCCUGAUGUCUCUCUAUGUCCAUAAUUAUUUGCCUGACCACGGAUCUUGCUUGAUCCAAUCCCAAAUUUAAGAUGGCUUGAGGAGCACGGCCCAAUUUCUGCAGAGAGUUCAGGGCCACUAUCUGCCAGCCAGACUGGAACCGAUCACAAAGAAUCAGUGGAGCUGUACAUUGGGGGGGGGGGGCAAUUUCAGUGUCAACCAGCGUUUCUCCAGGAGGCUUGCCUAUGAUACAUGCUGACAAAAUAUUAAAUCAGUUUCAUUGCCAGCAAUCUCAAUGUUGUGACCAUGUAUACUUCUGUAUUUUUCAUUUGGGGAAAAUGACCCUAUUGUGGAUGGAAGCUUUCAUGCAACCUUUACAAAAUAACAUAGGAUAAAAGAGAAAUAAAUGAUUAUGAAAUAGAUGCUGAUAUAGGGAAGGGAUGGGUGUUACAGCCACUUAGGAGCCUUGAGGUACUGAGUCAUUCCUGAAAAACUAGAAUUGCUAUGUGUAUGCUGGCCAAAAUGAUUACACAUUCAUAUUAUCUGAGGGUAUUUCAUGUGCUAUUUUCCCAAUCCAAUAUUGGGAAAUUUUGGAGCAAGAAGGAGAUAAAUUGAGACUGCAGAGUUUUGAAAAAUUAAAAAAUAAAGUGAGAGAUUGGCUCCACUACUAUCAGAUAAUGGAGGCAUAUAACUUGGAUAAGAAAAUAGGCUUCCAAGUGGAAAAGUCAAAAUUAGAAACAGAAUUGUUAGAACCCAAAACUAAAAAUUUGUCAAGAAUGUAUAACUUGCUGUUGAAAUGGAAUACUCAGGAUGAAACGGUGAAAUCUGCUAUGAUUAAAUGGGCACAAGAUGUUGGACAUAACAUUAUGUUCACUGACUGGGAACAGUUAUGGACCACAGGUAUGAAGUUUACGGCAUGUAAUGCCUUAAGAGAGAAUAUUAUGAAAAUGAUAUACAGGUGGUACAUGACCCCAGUCAAGCUUGCAAAAAUUUAUCAUUUGCCCGAUAAUAAAUGUUGGAAAUGUAAAGAAACUGAAGGUACAUUCUUUCACCUUUGGUGGACGUGCCCAAAGAUUAAGGCUUUCUGGGAAAUGAUAUAUAAUGAACUGAAAAAGGUAUUUAAAUAUACCUUUCUGAAGAAACCAGAGGCCUUUCUCUUGGGCAUUGUCGACCAACUGGUGCCAAAGAAGGACAGAACCUUUUUCAUGUAUGCUACAACAGCAGCAAGAAUACUUAUCGCAAAGUAUUGGAAGACACAAGAUCUACCCACUUUGGAAGAAUGGCAGAUGAAGGUGAUUGACUACAUGGAAUUGGCGGAAAUGACUGGCAGAAUCCGAGACCAGGGAGAAGAGUCGGUGAAAGAAGACUGGAAAAAAUUUAAGGACUAUUUACAGAAAUAUUGUAAAAUUAAGGAACUUUAGAAGGAUGUUGGAUAGAAAUUAAGAGGUUUUUAGCUGUAAUGCUUUAAGAGACAUGAAAAAAAAGGUUAACAAUUGGGUAAAAGAUUAAUGGUAAGGAUUUGCUGAACCAACAAACUGAAUUGGAAUACAAAGAAGGGAGGUACGAGGAGGUCUGGGUAAAUAUGAUUAAGGAAGAUAGGUUAUGGAACAUUAUUGUGUUUUUAACUGUUUUAUUUUGUAUGUUUUUUCUUACUUUUUACUUUUUUGCUGUAAUUUAUACUUUUUUCUUUGUUUUCUGUAUUUUGUGAAACUUUAAUAAAUAUCAUUUAAAAAAAAAAAAGAGGUACUGAGUCAUUCCUGAAGAACCAAAAUUGCCAAGUGUAUGCUGGCCAAAAUCAUUACACAUUCAUAUUAUCUGUGGGGAUUUCAUGAGCUAUAUUGGAAAAGGGUUGUUUUUCAUUUGCAGUUGUGGUUCAGCUUGAGAUGGAGGCAGCAGCUCGUUUUGGAAAUUCACUCUGUUCCUGCUAAUUGGUUUGUGAUGUUGCUCUUUCAUGCUUGGUGUAUUGUUGCUUUCAUCAUUAUUGGUUCUGGGUUGCAGUAAUUGAUGCAUCAUUUCAGAUUUUGGCAUGUUUGGUGAAUGCCAUCUCAGCUCUAUUCUGAUCCAUGUUUGUAUAUUGUGCAAACAUGAUUGGCGUCUCUCCUUCAGGUGACAGCAGGGACACAGCCACUAGUUGUUAUUGGGGGAAAGAAGCAAUGGGUUUAUCCUACUCCCAUCUCUCUCUUUUGGAUGGGAGGAUGGGUACAGAAAUUGACUGAAAGUCUUCUCUUGCAAUUUUGUAUGAAAGAAUACACAAAGAAUUUAAUUUUCAUGUUCUCAUUCGCAUGCUAAUGAAUACAGCUGCUUGUGAAUAUCUCUCCCCUCUGACUUAAAAGAAUCUUCCUGCCUCAUUUACUGUGAGAAACAAAAAUCUUACAUUGUGGUUUUACCAAUAUUGCUCAUUUGAUCUGAUUUGAAUCCUUACCUGCCGUUUGCUAUAAGGUCCCAUGGUGGGUUAUUACAAUAAAAUAUACAAUUACAUAAAAAUAAAACUGGUACAACCAUAAAAUGAGAAAAGGGUAAGAACAAUUAAACACAGUUCCAUAUAUAACUCAGUCAAAAUAUAGUUCCCAUGUAGUGCAGACUGGGAUAACCAUAACCAUAAUCAUAAGAAUCAUAAGAAUUAAGCCCUGCCCAUCUGGCUGGGUUGCCCCAGCCACUCUGGGCAGCUUCUAACACAUAUACUUAAAAACAUAUUCCACUUCAAAAGCUUCUUAUUGAAAGAGGAAGGCCUUCAAUGGUUUAAUUAGCAAUUUGCUGGGUAGGUGCUAAAUGAUCAAAUAAAACAUUCCUAGUCUCUUGACUGACUAAUAAGCAUAAUAAGCCUUUAGAAGGAAUUAGCACAUUUUGUGCCCCGUAACUGUGUUGGUACAGCCAAUAGCCAGGAAUGAUGGGAGUUGUACUCUGAGAGAAGCCCUCCAAGUGCCCUACAAGUGUGGGAAAUGUUUCAGUCAGAGCUCAUGCCUUAAGAAACACCAGAGGAUGCACACAGGGGAGAAACUUUUCAUGAGCCUCAAAUGUGGGAGAAGGUUCAAUCGGAACUCACAUUUGACCAGGCACCAGAAAACCCACACAGUGUGAUUUUCUUUUAUAAAAAAAAAAUGCUUUUCCGUUGGAAGUUCAUCUCCAUAAUUACAGCCACUAUAGAAUAAGUAAAGCCAGGUAUUGUGAAAUAGGAAGCCCGUCCCCAUCUUCCAAAGGAACUUUUGUCCAUCACUCUUAUUGGAGGAAUAUCAUCAGGGAAAUAAUAUAUUGGAUACAAUUGCCAGUUUUCUUCUAAAAUGUCCUUUCCCCCAUCUGGCUCCUACUCUCCAUCCACUUCUUAACAGGAUUCUAGUAUCUUCCCCAGAUGAUAUUCUAUUACGUGUUCUUUCCAUUUUACUCGUUUUAAAAUGUCAUCCCAUUGUCAACACCUUCAGACAGGUCAGCUCUUGGGUUUUCCAGUGGAUUUUGAGACUUGCUCUCGGUGGCCUCUGGUUUCUGAAUGGUUUUUACCAAAUUCUUGGAAGCUGUGAUAGGUGACAGAGAGAGAGAGAGAGAGAGAGAGAGAGAGAGAGAAUGAGACAGUAACCUAAUACCAAUACUCUGUAGUGAUGCAGGCACCUACCUUUUCCUCUAAUUGCUUCUGUUUUAUAUAUUCAAUAUUCCACUCUAUUUCCUGAUUUAUUAUCAUUGAAAAAGCCACUUCCGAACUGGUGAGGAGGUGGGGUUGCGGGCCCACACCCUCCCCACAAUCGCGGGGGCUGGCUUCCAGCCCCCGCGAGAUUGAGGAAUCCUCGGGCGCGUCAGCUCCCUGCAUAGCCAAUCAGCUGGUCAGGGAGGCGUGGCCCGGGCUAUUUAUGCCUGGCGAGCCCGAGGUCCACCCUCUCUUGCCUCUACAUCUGAUCAGGUUUCCCACCCUGCCCGCCCUUUAGUUGCUCCUCUGAUCUUGCUAUGGACUUCGUUUGGUCACCGUCAAGGGGCCUGGUAGGGAUUUUUUUCACUUGGUGAAUUGGCACCUGCCAUUUGGUCUUUUUCGUCUCAUCGGUCUUCAUGCAAUCGGGCUGAAGCCGGUUAGCUGAUAGGACCAAUGCCUAAGCCAAUACCGCUCAAUUCCUGCAAUCAAUAAAGUUGUGGCCAUUUUCCGCCCAUUAACCUUAUAUACCGUGUCCUGUGUCUUUAUUUCUCAUGGGGGGCGGGGGACUUGCCACUGCAAUUGUGUAAUAUCUUAACGUCCUGUUUCACUGUCUCUUUUUUAGGGGGAUUUGUUAAUUCUUUUUCUUUUUAUGUGUUUUCUCACUCUUUCCUUACCUCUGUUAUUUAUAUGGAUGUCAAGGGCCAUCUGUCAUGGAUGCUUGAGUUGAGUUUUCUGCAUUGCAGGGGGUUGGACUAAUGUCCCUCUUUUUUCAGAACUGCCUUUCCACAAUGUCAUCUAUAAACAUAAUCAAAUUCUAUGAUUCUAAGUGUUUCUCUCCUUUUUUUCAGAUUAACAGCUGCCGUUCAAGAUGCCAUCGAUGAACAUGGGUAUAUCUAUCCAGCUACGUCCCAUUCCUGUUCCUGUUCCUGUUCCUUUUCCUUUUCCUGUUCCUGGUCAAAUUACUACAAUGUCUAAAAUAUACAGAGGCUCUUUCGGUAGAAUAGCCAACAUCAACUUUAUGUGAAUAAAUUCAGGGUUCACUACAUCUCGCCUGAAAUACAACUAGCGCUCUACCCCUCUGGUGACAGCUCCUUUACUGAGAGAAGGAUUAACUUAUUCCUCUUUUGAAUCUGAACAUGAUCCCCAGAGGAAAGGGGGGAAAUGGUCCCUGAAUUGCAUGUGUUGGAUGAAUGGCUGGUGAUUGUAUGGGCUCAGGUGUCAGAAAUGCUGGGUCUUCCCUUCUAGACAAGCCCAAAUGGACUGGAUCAAGGAUCUCUUAGCCUCUCUGACACUCAGGUCUACACCUCUCUGCUCAGUGCAUCUUUCUGUUUUCCUCCCUUUUCUCUUGGAUAUGACCUUUUUCUCCCCUUGUACCUAAUGUACUUUGACCAAAAUUUGUGGGACACCAAAGUGUGAAUGACAUACACUUGUCAUUCAUUGAUGGAUCUCUGAAUAUGAUGUUUCCAGAUUCCCAAGAAGCUCUGUUUUCUCUGUAUCCCUUUGAUUAAAUCACAGCAGGCAACCUUAAAACAGUCUUUUAAUUAUUUUACACUUCAAUGCAUUGUUUGUUUUAUUAUUAAUAUUAUUAUUAUUUAGAAUUUAUAUAUUGCCUUAUACCAGGAGGUCUCAAGGCUGUUCACAGAACAAAAUCAAAAUAUAAAACCACAAAAUAUAUAAACAAGAUAAAAGCAACAACCAAAUAACCGCCACCCCACCCCACACAUUUUUAAAGGGCAUAGGAUGUCAAUCAAAUCAACCAAAGGCUCCAUUAAAAUGGAACAUUUUUGGCUGGCGCCUAAAAGUAUAUAAUGACGGCACCAGGUGAACUUUCCUGGGGAGAGCAUUCCACAGAUGGGGAGCCACCACAGAGAAGGCCCCGUUCUCAAGUUGCCACCCUCCAGACCUCUCAAUCUCCCAUCUGGUCUAGGGAACCACCCACUAACAGUGUCUCAGUCUUAUCUGGACAUCAUACAAGGCAACCAAAGCAGUUUUUGUGCCAAAACUGUUCCUAAUCCUCUAUUGAAAUGGAUCCAGAAAAGCAGUUUCUUCCGAAAGCGCCUUGUUCUGGUCUGCGACCACUCGCUCCAGAACCUUGCUCAGGAAAGGAAGAUUAGCAACUGGCCCAUAGUUAGUUAGGUUUUCCAAAUCCAGGGCAGGUUUCUUAAGGAGUGGUUUUACCACUGCCUCCUCCAAACAGGCAGCGACCACAAUUGCUUAACUUAUACAUUAUGUCAUGCAACUGUCCUCCCACUACAAUAAAUCUCACCUAUCUGUAUCACCACUGGUUGUGGUUCCAUUAUGUUUCCUUUUAUUAGACUUGUAGUCAUUCAUAGAACCAUGGAAGUGUAGAGAUAGAAGGGACCUUGGGGUCAUCUAGGAGAAGGACUGUCCACCACAUUGCAAAGCAGUGCAGUCUACUGUUCAAAAUCUCUCAGAGACUCGUCACUUCUAUAGAAAUUCCUUCCAUCACAUGGAAGAUGGAGCGAGCUUGUUUUCUCCUCCUCCUGAGUGUAGGACCAGAACCAAUAGAUUCAAAUGAGGAGAAAUGAGAUUCUGACCAUCAGGCAUUUCUGAUGGUAAGAGCUAUAUAGUGGACUUCUGGAGGAUUUUAAACAGAGGCUGGAUCACCACCUGUCAGGUAAAUGGCCCACAGGCAUGUGAAUGCAUGGAAAUUAGUGAAGGAAUUGGAACACUUCAUAGCAUGGAUAUAAUGGUUAAACCUAAAAGUAUUACAAAACAUAGACCCUAUUAUACCGAGGAAAGUAAUGAAAGUAUUCCAAUGCCCUGACUCACUUUAUCAGCCAUUUUUGUAGGCUGAUACCAUUAGUUUGCAACCUUGUUCCCAGUGAUACUUGCACAGCACUUUAUCCCAGACUGGAUUUAUCCAGCUUCCUAGCAGCUGGUGGAAAAUGAUGCAGGCACCUCUCUCUGUGUGUGUAAAGAGAAACCCUUGCUUGAGUGCUUGUGUUGUGGGGUUUCCCCUUUGUCCAGUCCUCUCCUUCAUCAUUUUGAUCAUCUUUGUUUUACUGUUUUCAAUCAGUUUCAUUGCCAGCAAUCUGGGAGCAUAUGUACUUCUCUAUAUUUCAGUUGGGGGAAAUUACCCUAUUGUGUAUGGAAGCUUUCAUGCAACCUUUACAAAAUACCACAGGAUAAAAGAGAAAUCAAUAGUUAUGCAAUAGAUGCUGAUAUAGAGAAGGGAUGGGUGUUAGAUACCCUCCAUCUUUUCUCUGAUGAAUAUAGGGAAGUCCCAUUCCAUAAUGAAACUUUACUUCUUAUACUCCACACAUCUUACUGGGCUGCCCCAGGCACUCUACAAAACAUAAUAAAACAUUGAACAUUUUAAAAACUUCCCUAUACAAGAUUGCCAUCAAACAGCUUCGGGGUCAGAGCUCCAUACCCUCCAACAUUUCUCCAUACCCUCCAACAUUUCUCCUAUGAAAAGAGUGUCAUCUGUUGUGGUUCUGGCCUCUCAGGAGUUAACACUCCAGGAGCGUUCUUAUCAACUGGGUGCACUGCCCACAUGAUCCAUCCAUUUCUCCUUUGAUCUGAGCUCUCUCUGGAGAGCAGUCUGUCUGAGAACCUUAGCAAGGUCAUUUCGUUUUGUUAAGAGGCAGAAAGCUGCGAACAUGCAGGGCCCUUGCAGCAGACGCAGUGGGUCAAAAGAUAUACGACCCAACAAACUUUAACAACAUCCUAAGGAAAUGUGGGACAUUCCAGGAUGAGUACAUUUCCGAGCACAAUUCAAAGUGUUGUGCUGACCUUUAAAGCCCUAAAAGGCCUCAGUCCAGUAUACCUGAAGGAGUGUCUCCACCCCCAUCGUUCUGCCCGGACACUGAGGCCCAGCGCUGAGGGUCUUCUGGCGUUUCCCUCUCUGCGAAAAGCCAAGUUACAGGGAACCAGGCAGAGGGCCUUCUCGGUAGUGGCACCCUCCCUGCGGAACACCCUCCCAUCAGAUGUUAAAGAGAAAAACAACUACCAGACUUUUAGAAGACAUCUGAAGGCAAGCCUGUUUAGGGAAACUUUUAAUGUUUGACAGACUAUUGUAUUUUAAUAUUCUGUUGGGAGCCACCCAGAGUGGCUCAGGAAACCCAGCCAGAUGAGCAGGGUAUAAAUAAUAAAUUAUUAUUAUUAUUGGAGCCAGGGGGUAUUCGGGGCUCCCAUAAAAUAUUUGAGGGGUCUGCCAACUGAAAGCUGAUGGGCAUUGCCAUUCAAAUGGUGUGCGUGCACCGUGUCAUGUGAUCCAUUAUGUGGGGCAGGGCUUAAACACCUCCCCAAACAUUUUAUUCAAGUUGACAACCUGUCCACAAAAUUCCGACACAACCCUGAGGUAUUUGGAAUGUGUCCCGUCCCCCGUCCCCCCGCAUCCCAACCUCAAUCUUUUUCUUUCCCAACCUCCCACAUUUUGUGGUGCAAUUUAUCUUUCAGAGUAAAAUAACCCACCCCACCACCCACCCACAAAUAGUAUCAUGUUUCUCAGGGUUAUGGAUCAAAGUUGGGUGUUAGCUCAGGAGUGAGGGGCAAGUAUUAAUGAAACCCACAGAGAACAGGUGCUAUGCUGAAGCUAAGUUUAAUGCAUAAGAGGAAGACAGAACAUUUUCAUUCCAGAAACCAAGGAAGAAUUGCCUUCCAGGCAUUGCAGUAAGGUAAUUCAAACACUGAUCUUGAUGAGAGAGAUGGUACAUAAACAUUCAGAGUUGUAUUGUGUUUCUAUAGCAUUCGAGCGCAAUACAAGUUGGAGGCAUUAAAAAAAUUGCCCCUUAGCUGGAGAUAAAUUCCAUACAUAGCAAAAGCCCAGAAGAAGAAGAAGAGGCUGGGAUCAAGACAUCCUAGGAAGCAGUUGCAUGUUUGUAAGGCAAGCAUGGAUGAGCCAAGCAUCUGGGAAUCCUGCAAACUUGGUGGUUGAACUGGGGACGCUUGCCACUUCUGGCACCAAGGCCCAUGAGAUAAUCAGUCGUGAAGCCAUGCUGAGUUCAUCAGUUGCUGGUGAGGGCAUUCUGCUGGUCUGAGUGCUCCCUUUAAUAGCAUGAAUAGCAUCCAGAGCAGCCGUAUCCCAGGCCUCCUCCCAUAGACGAUGUGCCACCACAGGCGGUGUAUCCUCCCACACGAACUGGCUCACACGUGGCAGCGAGUAUUGCUCCUGGGAUAGUCACACAAUAUGGAGGUGGCUUGAUGCAUACUUGCGAUGGUGGUACCUGAGUCAUGCAACCAACACUGGCAGCAGGAUUUAUAGCGAGGCUACUUGAUGACACUCCACCACCACUUGAACCCCAAAAGCCCCCACUUCCCCCCAAACCCCCAAAGCCACAACUUGGUUUCAGCGAGCCCAGACCGCCAGCUGGGUAACAGCAGGAGGAAUUGUAGCCACAGUUCAUUUUGGAGUGAUGGGUCCUGGAUCUGAAAUGAUGAUGAGCAAACAUUCAUCCAAUUUAUUCAUGAUUCACGCAUCCAAUUUAUAACAAAACAACAACCAUAACAACAAGCCCUACCACCGCCAGUGAAGAAGAAGGAGAGGAAGAAGAGGAGAUUAUAACACAAUCUGCAAGUUCAUUAAAAAAAUCCCCUAUCAUUAAAAAAUCCCAAGCCAGCUAUAGUGCAUCAGUCCAGCAUUGGAGGCCUCUUGGUGGUGUCACCAACGGGUUUGUCUCCCAUGCGACCUCAUGAGAUGGUCUUCUUCCAGGCAGCUCCCCCCUUUUGGAACACAUUCCACACUGAUGUGUGUGUAUCUCCUUAUGAUAGAUAGACUUUGAGAAAAGAUCUAAAUGCAUUCUUGUUUACCCUUGUCUGUUCCUGCGAACCCUGAAAUUAUUACAUUUUCAUGCUUUUCUUUUAGGUUUCUAGGAGUUGAAGGUUGUCAAGACCCCUCAGAAUAAACUAUGAAGGGUAUGAGAGCACAGGAAAACUCAAAGAAAUGUAAGAUAUUAAUUCUGUUAUAUAUUUGUGUCCCUCCCUUUCUCGAACACAAACCCUUUUUCUGGAUGAUACCAUUUUAUGUUGUGUUUAUCAUACAUUGUUGAUUGUUAAGAUUAAUAAUAAUAAUAAUAAUAAUAAUAAUAAUAAUUUAUUAUUUAUACCCCGCCCAUCUGGCUGGGUUUCCCCAGCCACUCUGGGCGGCUUCCAACUGAAUAUUAAAAACAGUACAGCAUCAGACAUUAAAAACUUCCCUAAAGAGGGCUGCCUUCAGUUGUCUUUUAAAAAGUAAAAUAGUUGUUUAUUGCCUUGACAUCUGCUGGGAGGGCGUUCCACAGGGCAGGCGCCACUACCGAGAAGGCCCUCUGUCUGGUUCCCUGUAACCUUACUUCUUGCAAUGAGGGAACCGCCAGAAGGAUCUCGGCGCUGGAUCUCAGUGUCCGGGCUGAACGAUGGGGGUGGAGACACUCCUUCAGGUAUACAGGACCGAGGCCGUUUAGGGCUUUAAAGGUCAGCACCAACACUUUGAAUUGUGCUCGGAAACGUACUGGGAGCCAAUGCAGAUCUCUCAGAACCGGUGUUAUGUGGUCCCGACGGCCACUCCCAGUCACCAGUCUAGCUGCCGCAUUCUGGAUUAAUUGCAGUUUCCGGGUCACCUUCAAAGGUAGCCCCACAUAGAGUGCAUUGCAGUAGUCCAAGCGGGAGAUAACUAGAGCAUGCACCACUCUGGCAAGACAGUCUGCGGGCAGGUAGGGUCUUAGCCUGCGUACCAGGUGGAGCUGCUAGACAGCUGCCCUGGACACAGAAUUAACCUGUGCCUCCAUGGACAGCUGUGAGUCCAAAAUGACUCCCAGGCUGCGCACCUGGUCCUUCAGGGGCACAGUUACCCCAUUCAGGACCAGGGAAUCCCCCACACCCGCCCGCCCCCUGUCCCCCCAAAACAGUACUUCUGUCUUGUCAGGAUUCAACCUCAAUCUGUUAGCUGCCAUCCAUCCUCCAACCGCCUCCAGGCACUCACACAGGACCUUCACCGCCUUCACUGGUUCUGAUUUAAAGGAGAGGUAGAGCUGGGUGUCAUCUGCAUACUGAUGAACACCCAGCCCACUACAAAAAUAUUAAAUAAAUAUCUGACCAUUGAUAGCCCAAUGCCUUCAGUGGUCACAUAUUCAUAUUCAUGUUUAGUUGGAAUCUCAUAAUACCCAAAAAAUCCAAUAUUAACUUUUCCUCCAACUCCCAUCAUCCCUUGGUCAAAUUGGCUGAGCUUGAUGCUAUUUGGAAUGCAACAGCCCCUGGCAGCCACAGGUUUCACAUCCUUUUUCCAGCAACAGAAAGCAGGUAUGUUCUGUCAUCCAUGCCACAGCCCUUAAGAUGUUUUGCAAUGGAAGGUAUAUGGCCUCGUAAUAACCUCUUCCUUCCUUACACUCUUCCCUUUUAUGUUAUGCUUUUUCAGUUCCAAAGCUAAACUUACACCAAGAAGCAAGUUAAGGCUUAAAGGGGCCCUGCUAAAAAUCUGGAGAGCCCCCAGCACCAGUCCGUGUGGACCAGGAAUAGGGUGGGGGCAUCUGUGAGCCUCCACGUGUUGUUGGACUCCAAGACCCAUCAGGCCCUGCUGGCACAGGCAAUGGCCAGGAAUGAUGGGAGUUGUAGUCCAGCAACUCUGGGAGGACCAUUGAUAUUCCACAUCCCUCCUGUAGACACGACUGAACUAGGUGGAGGAUAGCUCUGACUCCAUACGAAAGGAGUCUUCAUACAUAGCCAAAGUGCUGUAGGAAAUGAGAAAGAAGAUGAGCAAGGAGAGGCAGGUCUGGGUUCAAAGAAGGAGACAGAGAGAGUGAAGUUUGGAAAGGAAUAGGCAGCAAACGGCAUGGAGUUCUCUCACUUACCAAGGUCUCAGGAGAAGUACUCAGGUGAAGGUGAGAGGAGCUGUUGUUAGAAUCGUGGACAGCAAGUCCUUUUAUAAGAUUCCAGGACUGCAAGUCCCUCCCUUGUAGACGAAAACUGCCUUCAGGUGUCCUACCCUCAAAGGCCCUGACUAAUUAUUGGAAGCGGACUUCAUCCUGAGCCACCCUGUAUUCAUUAGCAUGUGUUUUAUCCAAUUCCAUUCCCCUUUCAUUAUCCUCCUAUUUACUCCUUUUGAUGAUUAAUUAUGAUACGUUUUACAAUUGGUGUCGCCCCCUGCUUCGUAAAGAAUGCAUGCUUGUCAAGGCUUCAAGCCCCCUUUCCACUGAAUUCUAGAGAUUUGUGUAAACCCCAUCUUCCCACGCUGGGAUGGGUUUAUCUGUUUUAAAAAGCCUUUUUUUAACUUCCCUUAUAAUCCCUACAUAUGUUUGCUUUAAACAAAGCCCUCCAAAUUGAAUUCAGUGGACAUCUGUCUCAAAGGGAGCUUUCUUAAGCAAAGUCAGCCAUUGGUGCAUCUAGCUCAAUAUUGCCUACACUUUCACCCUGCAACUUCCUCUACAAUGCAUUAUGAGCAGCAGUGCCCUUGCAAAGGAGCAGCCCACAGUAUUGAAUCCUCCACUUUACUGCUUGAGAGUGGAGGAUUCAAUCCUGCUUGAGGGUCAACUUCCAACGGGCAUUCCCUGUGUCUUCCUGCCUGAUGUUCAACUCCUUUAUAGCCCCUGAUCUUUCUGGGUGGGCUCACCCAGGGUGUUCCAGGGCUGUGUCCUCCCAACUCAACCAUGAUCCUCCCAAAUGGGCUCAAUUCAGGGAAGGUUUGAACUCUGAGUGAAUCCAGUGAACAGCCUCAGCAUCUAAUCCAGCUUCCUGUUCCUCCAGCCAGAUGCCUAUGGGAAGCCCACUGGAGAACUGACUCCGAACAUCAACAAGCAACAUAUUGGCUAAUAAUAUACAGCGGUAUCUCGGGUUAAGAAAUUAAUUCGUUCUGGAGGUCCAUUCUUAACCUGAAACUGUUCUUAACCUGAGGUACCACUUUAGCUAAUGAUGCCUCCUGCUGCUACCGCGACACCGCCACGCAAUUUCUGUUCUCAUCCUGAAGCAAAGUUCUUAACCCGAAGUACUAUUUCUGGGUUAGCAGAGUCUGUAACCUGAAGCAUCUUUAACCUGAAGCAUCUUUAACCCGAGGUACCACUGUACUGACAAUAUUUUUUAUAACACUAUACUGUAUCAAAAUUCAUAAACAGAAGACGAAUAAUAAAAAAAUUUAUUUGUACCCCGCCCUCCCCAGCCAGAGCCAGGCUCAGGGCAGCUAACCAGUAAAAUGACAGUAAAGGGGAGGGAAGACAUAAGGGUCACACUGAGUCCAAACCAAAGGCCAGGCAGAACAGCUCUGUCUUGCAGGCCCUGCGGAAAGAUGUCAAGUCCCGCAGGGCCCUAGUCUCUUGUGACAGAGCGUCCCACCAAGUCGGGGCCAGUACCUGAGGUACUAUUUCUGGGUUUGCAGAGUCUGUAACCUGAAGCAUCUGUAACCUGAAGCAUCUUUAACCCGAGGUACCACUGUACUGACAAUAUUUUUAUAACACUAUACCUGCGGCGGUAUAGUUCGGUCCCAGCUCCUGCCCACCUAGCAGUUCGAAAGCACUCUUAAGUGCAAGUAGAUAAAUAGGUACCGCUUUAUAGCGCGAAGGUAAACGGCGUUUCCGUGUGCUGUGCUGGCUCGCCAGCUGCAGCUUCAUCACGCUGGCCACGUGAGCCGGAUGUGUCUUCGGACGGCGCCGGCUCACGGCCUCUAGAGCGAGAUGAGCACGCAACCCCAGAGUCGGACACGACUGGCCCAUACGGGCAGGGGUACCUUUACCUUUACCUUUACUGUAUCAAAAUUCAUAAACAGAAGACUAAUAAUAAUAAAUUUUAUUUAUGCCCCGCCCUCCCCAGCCAGAGCCAGGCUCAGGGUGGCUAACCAGUAAAGUGACAGUAAAAUCAUAAUAGGGGGAAAAAACCAAUUUAAAAUACAGGUUAAAAUGCAAUUUAAAAUGCAGCCUCAUUUUAAAAGUAGCCCAUAGAUCAAAACCAUAAGGGGAGGGAAAACAUAAGGGUCAGACUGAGUCCAAACCAAAGGCCAGGCAGAACAGCUCUAUCUUGCAGGCCCUGCGGAAAGAUGUCAAGUCCCGCAGAGCCCUAGUCUCUUGUGACAGAGCAUUCCACCAAGUCGGGGCCAGUACUGAAAAGGCUCUGGCCCUAGUUGCGACCAAUCUAAACACCUUGCGACCUGGGACCUCCAAAAUGUUGUCAUUUGUGGACCUUAAGGUCCUCCGUGGGGCAUACCAGGAGAGGCGGUCCCAUAGGUACGUGGGUCCUAGGCCGCAUAUGUGCAUGGAGUCACAAACUAUCAGAUAGGUUUUCCAAACCAGGAAUGGUAGGAUUGGUAAGUCACUGUCAAGGAUCACCGAAAGAGGGGCAGAAUGCCUUUCCACAGUCAAUAUCCUAUCCAAAAUGUAGUUGGAAGUGAGUUGGAGCACGGUGGUGCUAUGGGCACAACACUACAAAUGUGAAAUGAUGGGUGCUCCAAACUUUACAAUAGGCUGUAUAACAUCUCAUGCCACCCAGCACUUGAUAUUUAGCCGAUUUUUUGGAAUUCUGGUAGCAUUCAAUCUGCCUUUGGAAUUCAAUCGACCUUUCCCUCCAAUGAGCAAAGGGUCGGGUAUACAUGGUCCCACCUCCCCUAUUUAAUCAUCAUGACAGCACUACCAAGUGGCUUGGGAUGAGCGAUAUUGACUGGCCCAAGGUCAUGCGGUGAGUUUAAUGGAAGAGUGAGGAUUUGGACAUGAAUCUCCUAGGCUCUAGCCCUACACAACACACACACAAGGACAUCAUUGCCCAGGUGUGUGAGUGUAUGUGUUUGUGUGUAUUUCUUGUCUCUAUAUAGAGAGACAGUCCAGGAAGCUUGAAACAAAUGUCAUAGAAAAAGAAAAGCACAAUGUAAAAGCAAGAGAGGGAAGAGUUAUCCCGCCCAGCAACUUAAACUCAUUCUGAAAGCCAACUUUGAUGGAGGAACAAGGUUUGGAGCAUGAAUGAUCCAUCUUUAGCACUUUGCAUCCUGUCUCUUUGCUUUGGGGAGGCCAUAAAAUUAAGUAAAAAUACUCAGACAUAAGCAGUCUGAGCUGCUAAAUGGUCCAGCAGUGCUGCUUUGAUUUCUUCAAUAUUACAGGGUAGCCAUAUGCAGUCAAAACAAGUAGGUGGGACAAGAUGCUCAGAUCUUUAUGGAUGUAUUGCUCAUUGACUAUUGUGGGAAUUAUUAAGGCUGGACUUAAUAAAUGAAAAACAGCAGGUGUGGACACCCGUGGAUAGUCACACGUACCACCUCAGACUUCCAUAUAAUAGUCAGGUUGGCAGCUAAUUUGUGUCAAAACAAACCAACCACUUUGUAAGUGAAUAUGUCUGUCCGGGGCUUUGAGCAGGACUGGGGAGCAGACCUCGCAACCACCCCCAGGGCAUUGAGCAGGACUUCCCAGAAUUACCUUGGUUUCUGACUGGAUCCUGGGAUGCCCUGGUUUGGCUCCUGCUGAAGACACACGUUUUGGUGGGCCACACACCCCAAUUUUCCUAUUGGAGGGUGUUGGGUAGUCUUUCCCAGCUAGGCCUAUGUUUCCUUCACAAGCCAUAGAUGGAAUUGCUGUCAGGUAUAUUCUUUUGCCAUGGUGAGUUGUGAACCAGGAGCACCUUUGCAAACUGGAGAGACUGUCAGGGGCACCACAGCUGUGCAUCCCAAACCUCUACUGCUGCUUACAUUAGAAGGCUUCUGACACAGAGAAGGGCUGUGGAUCAGUGGUUUAAAAAAAGUGCACCGUCCUAGCUAUGUCUUAUCAAAGUCCUGCUCGUGUCACUCUUUCUCCCUGCUUCUCCCCCCCCCCAAAAAAAUUACUUCUUCUUUGGAAUGUCAAAAGCUGUUCUGUUUCCCCCGCCCUUGCCCUCCUUCUUUGCCCCCACCCACCCAAACAUCCAUCCAUUCGUGGUUUUGUCUUUGUACAUCCUCUGUUUAUUGAGAUACUGUCCUGUUUAUGGUUGGGUUGGUUUUUUUUGCGGGGAGGGGGAUAUUUGUUUAUUUUAAUAAUAUAAAAAGUGUGUGGAAUGAAAGUGGGGAGGGGAACAAAACAGGAAAAACAGCCCUGCUUCCUAAACCUCUGCCCCCCCCCUUUUUUGAGAAGCCAAAUACUUCCUCCCCCCAAUUGCUUGGGUACCAACCCGCCCUGCACGAGUGGGGGAGGGGAGGGGGCUGGACGGUGUUCUCUCUCUGCAAUAGGUUUGGAACUUGAAGCUGCUGCUAAAAAAAUCCAAAACCGUGACAUCAAUAAAACCGGAUAAAAACACCAUCAAGAAAAGAAAAGAAAAAAAGUGCAUCAGACACAGAAGGUCUUGGGUUCAAUUGCCAAACACCUCCAAGAAGGACUGAGAAUUGGAUCCUAGCGGAAACCAUAGCGGAAACCAGCUGCUUCUCAAUCUGUGUAGAACAAAGGUGUGCAACAUAGUGCCCUCCAGAUGUUGUUGGACUGUAAGCCUUCUCCAUUGGUCAAGCCUUGACUGGCGCUCCUGUCAAGUCCUGGCCAACUUGUGGAACAUUUGAAUGGUCCAGGCCAUUGACACAUUCACUCCUGAGCACCCUCUCCUGCUUUGUGAAGCCUGCUUGGGUCUCUGUUAUACACCAGAGCAUGGGUAGGCAAACUAAGGCACAGGGGAUGGAUCCAGCCCAAUCGCCUUCUAAAUGCGGCCCGUGAACAGUCUGGGAAUCAGUGUGUUUUUACAUGAGUAGAAUGCGUGUUUUAUUUAAUACACAUCUCUGGGUUAUUUGUGGGGCAUAGGAAUUUGUUCAUUUCCCCCCAAAAAAUAUAGUCUAGGCCCCCACAAGGUCUGAGGGACAAUGGGCCGGCCCCCCACUGAAAAAGUUUGCUGCUCACUGACCAGAACAUAGGACAAUGAAACAAGCUGGGAGAUGGUUUGAAUGCAAGUGGAGGUCCAUGCGGAUAAUACUGAGGAAUGGUUAAUGGGUGGCUUCAUAGACUGGAUGGAUGGAUGCCUGUACUUGAUCGUCUUAUACUCCCUCUGAAGGAGUGGUAAUGUAGUUUGGGGGCAAUUCUGGAUCCAUUUCUGUAUCUUGAGGCUCAGGUGACCUCAGUAGCACAGAGUGCCUUCCAUCAGGAGGACAUAGCCCUGGAGCACCCUGGGCAAGCCAUCAGGCAGGAAGACACAGGGGAGGCACUCUGCAAGCGGACCCCCAAGCAGGAUUGAACUCUCCACUCCUCAGCUGGAAAGUGGAGGAUACUAUUAGCCAGAUGGACCCAUGGCCUGAGUUCCUGAUGUCCCCUGAAUUCAAUUUCUAAGACUUUUUUUUAAGGGAACUUUAAAAGGUCUUCUAUGAAACAGACGAAACCACCCAUGCCUGGGAAGAUGGGCUUUACACCAAUCUCUAGAACUGAGUGGACUGGGGGCUUGUAACCCUGACAUGCACACAUUCUUUAUGAAGCAGGGGCAACACCAAUUGUAAAAAGUAUCAUAAUUAAUCAUCAAAAGGAGUGAAUAGGAGGGUAAUGAAAGGGGAAUGGAAUUGGAUAAAACACAUGCUAAUGAAUACAGGGCGGCUCAGGAUGAAGUCCGCUUCCAAUAAUUAGUCAGGGCCUUUGAGGGUAGGACACCUGAAGGCAGUUUUCGUCUACAAGGGAGGGACUUGCAGUCUUGGAAUCGUAUAAAAGGACUUGCUGCCCACGAUUCUAACAACAGCUCCUCUCACCUUCACCUGAGUACUUCUCUUGAGACCUUGGUAAGUGAGAGAACUCCAUGCCUUUUGCUGCCUCUUCCUUUCCAAACUUCACUCUCUCUGUCUCCUUCUUUGAACCCAGACCUGCCUCUCCUUGCUCAUCUUCUUUCUCAUUUCCUAUGGGCACUUUGGCUAUGACUGAAGACUCCUUUCGUAUGGAGUCAGAGCAAUCCUCCACCUAGUUCAGUCGUGUCUACAGGAGGGACGUGGAAUAUCAAUGGUCCUCCCAGAGUUGCUGGACUACAACUCCCAUUCUUCCUGGCCAUUGCCUGUGCCAGCUGGGCCUGAUGGGUGUUGGAGUCCAGCAACACCUGGAGGCUCACAGAUACCCCCACCCUAUUCCUAGUCCACACAGACUGGUGCUGGGGGCUCUCCCGAUUUUCAGCAGGGCCCCUUUCCUGCCUUACCUUGAGAUGCCAGGCAUUUCUUUCCCCAAAGUGUAUUUGGCAGGGCUCCUAGAACAUGUUGCAAAAAAUCAGAAAUGAAAACAAAAUGAAACACAAAGGGGGUAGCUUCUUGGUGCAAGUUUAGCUUUGCAACUGAAAAAGCACAGCAUAAAAGGGAAAGGGGGUGAGGAAGGAAGAGGUGAUUAUGAAGCCACACACCUUCCAUUGCCAAAUAUCGUAAGGGAUGUGGCAUGGAUGAUGGAACAUAUCUGCUUUCUGUUGCUGGAGAAAGGGUGAGGAACCUGUGGCUGCCAUGAAGUUGUUGCAUUCCAAGUAGCAUCAAGCUCAGCCAAUUUGGCCAAGGGCCAGGGAGUUGAAGCAAAAAGUUAAUAUUACAAGAAACUGUAUUUUUUAAGUAUUAUGAGAUUCCAACCAAACAUGAAGAUGAACAGUAGCAUGGAAUAUGCGACCACUGAAGGCAUUGGGCUAUCAAUGGUCAGAUAUUUAUUUAAUAUUUUUAGAGUAUUAAUUUUUAACAAUCAACAACAUAUGGUAAACACAACAUAAAAUGGUCCCAUCCAGAGAAAGGGUUUGUGUACAAGAAAGGGAAGGACACAAAUAUAUAACAGAAUUAAUAUCUUACAUUUCCUUGAGUUUUCCUGUGCUCUCACACCCUUCAAAGUUUAUUCUGAGGGGUCUGGACAACCUUCAACUCCUAGAAACAUAAAAGAAAAGCAUGAAAAUGUAAUAAUUUCAGGGUUCGCAGGAACAGACAAGGGUAAACAAGAAUGCAUUUACAUCUUUUCUCAAAGUCUAUCUAUCAUAAGGAGAUACACACACAUCAGUGUGGAAUGUGUUCCAAAAGGGGGGAGCUGCCUGGAAGAAGACCAUCUCAUGAGGUCGCAAGGGAGACAAACCCGUUGGUGACACCACCAAGAGGCCUCCAAUGCUGGACUGAUGCACUAUAGCUGGCUUGGGAUUUUUAAUGAUAGGGGAUUUUUUUAACGGACUUGCAGAUUGUGUUAUAAUCUCCUCUUCUUCCUCUCCUUCUUCUUCACUGGUGGUGGUAGGGCUUGUUGUUAUGGUUGUUGUUUUGUUAUAAAUUGGAUGCAUGAAUCAUGAAUAAAUUGGAUGAAUGUUUGCUCAUCAUCAUUUCAGAUCCAGGACCCAUCACUCCAAAAUGAACUGUGGCUACAAUUCCUCCUGCUGUUACCCAGCUGGCGGUCUGGGCUCGCUGAAACCAAGUUGUGGCUUUGGGGGUUUGGGGGGAAGUGGGGGCUUUGGGGGUUCAAGUGGUGGUGGAGUGUCAUCAAGUAGCCUCGCUAUAAAUCCUGCUGCCAGUGUUGGUUGCAUGACUCAGUUACCACCAUCGGAAGUAUGCAUCAAGCCACCUCCAUAUUGUGUGACUAUCCCAGGAGCAAUACUCGCUGCCACGUGUGAGCCAGUUCGUGUGGGAGGAUACACCGCCUGUGGUGGCACAUCGUCUGUGGGAGGAGGCCUGGGAUACGGCUACUCUGGAUGCUAUUCAUGCUAUUAAAGGGAGCACUCAGACCAGCAGAAUGCCCUCACCAGCAACUGAUGAACUCAGCAUGGCUUCACGACUGAUUAUCUCAUGGGCCUUGGUGCCAGAAGUGGCAAGCGUCCCCAGUUCAACCACCAAGUUUGCAGGAUUCCCAGAUGCUUGGCUCAUCCAUGCUUGCCUUACAAAUGUGCAGCUGCUUUAUAGAAUGUGUUGAUCCCAACUUCUAUACACUAUGUCUUUCUUCUUCUUCUUUCUUCUUCUUUCUUCUUCUUCUUCUUUCUUCUUCUUCUUCUUCGCUUUUGCUGUGGAAUGUAUCUCCAGUUGAGGCACAAAUGUUUGAAUGCAUCCAACUUGUAUUGCGCUUGAAUGCCAUAGAAACACAAUACAACUCUUAAUGUGUAUAUAUUACCUGUGUCAUCAAGAUCAAUGUCUGAAUUACCUUACUGCAAUGCCUGAAAGGCAAUUCUUCCUUUGUUUCUGGAAUGAACAUUAUGCAUUAAACUUAGCUUCAGCAUAGCACCUGUUCUCUGUGGGUUUCUUUAAGGCUUGCCCCUCACUCCUGCGCCAACACCCAACUUUGAUCCAUAUCCCUGAGAAACAUAACCCUUUUUUGUGGGUGGGGGUGGGGCAUUUUACUCUUCAAAUAAAAAUUGCACCAUAAAAUGUGGAAGGUUGGGAAGAAAAAAACCAUUACAAAUAACUCAGCGUUGUCUGGGAAUUUUGUGGGCAUGCUGCCAAGUUGAAUAAAAUAUUUUGGGGGGAGGUAAGCUCUGCCCCACAUAAUCAUUCACAUAACAUGUUGCAAGUGUCAGUGUUUGAAAAGAAAAGGUUCUGACCUCCUUUUUACUCCUUUGCCUAAAUCCUCGGACCCUAGUUGGCACAAGAGAGUCUUUGAGAAAGAGUAUUCUUGCAGAGUAUAGCUGCUUUUAUUCUUACAAAGUCAUCUUCUCCAACCACGACCGACAGCUUUUACACACACCAAACUCAGCCAACUCUCUACCAUCCAACCAACCAACCCACAACCACACACAAUAUAUAUAUAUAGGCAUUUGUAGGUGAAAGGUUGCAUGAGUCAUGCAGUCUUUGCUGAUUUAUUGUUGACCGCUGACUCAUGCUGACACAGUUCCUUUUGUAUUAAAGAAACAGCGGCUAAUUUUAAGCCGUAACAGCACGCACACUAAUUGAAUGGUGACGUCCAUCAGCUUUGGGGUGGCAGCCCCCUCAAAUAUUUUAUUUGGGGGAGAUGACAAAGGCAAAGAAAAAGGCAUUCCACUUCCGGGUGUGAUGGCGUUGUGGUCAGACCAUGUGGCCCCAUGUCAUGGCCCCGGGCCAGCCAAUCCAGCGACCUGGGGCCAUGGCUUAUCCCCUUUAAAACAGCCACACAGCCAAGGGGAGUUCCCUCUUGUUCCAGCUUCCAUGGAGGCCUCGGGGUCUUGACACACAAGCAACAACCAAGAGCUAAUUGAGUUUGGAGGAAAAUACCUCAGAGUUGGGUGGGAAAUUUGUAGGGAAACAACCCUAUCCCCAUAAGGGAUAGUUCUUCAAAUGUCUCAACCCCUUCUCCUUCUCAGGAGAUCCCAUGAGCUGCCACCCUGUUGCCUGCAGGCUCUAUGAAAAUGGAAAUUUAGACCUGUCACACAAAUGAUAGCAGAGAACAAGCCUGUGUGUUUUCCUCAUAUAUAUAAAUGUUUUCUUCUUCCAUGUCCCAUUCCAUGAGGACAUUCAUAAACCUACAUAAAGUAGGAUUAAAGCCGCAUAAUGGAACUGGGAAUUGGACAGCACCAAUGAAGACUGUGGGGAAAUAAACUCCAUACUAUAUACCAUAAGUAUUCCUCUUCUUUGGAAAGCAGACAACAACCCAUGGCCUAUUUAAAGAACAAUAACUUCAUAAUGAGAAAAUAUUUUUAGCUCUAGCUGGGGGGGAAGAAACAGGUAUUCCAAAAUUGAGACAAAGUGGAUUUAUUCAUCUCCUUCGUUAUGAUUGGAAGCAGGAUUACCUUGAAAACCCAUGGAAGCUUCACGCACAAGGAAGUCUGCCUCUGUUCACUUUGAAAUUGUAUUUAAAAGAAAAAAAUCCUCUGCUCAUAUUCUAGAAACAAAAUGAGACUGCUGACAUACUCAUGAAGCCACAAAAUGAAGCAGCUCUUUUUCUACUUUUGUCCCCAUCCUCCUUCUUCUUGAAUUGAACAUCUCCCCCAUUCCUAAAAAUGCAGGCAUUUUGCAGAAUUGCCAUUUUGAAAAUGAAUUCGCUCAGUUCCUGAAGUAUUAGUCUCUUUGGCCCACUUCAAUAGCAGAUGAUUUAAUUUCAUGGCAUAGAAAUUUCUCCUAAGUGGUAGGAUUAUAAAUCUUUAUUACAGAAAUCCACGGAAAUUUGUAUUUGAGACACCACAACUGAGGCAUCUGAUCAAAAUCCGCUUUGAGCUUAAAAAAUAUAUUUGUAAAUAUUUUUAUCUCUCAUGCCAGGGAAGAUCAGCUGAAUACUCUGGCAGCUGUUCAAGGGGCCCCACUGCUAUAAAUAAAAGUAUUUCAAGGUUGUAAAAGGAAAUUAGAGCCAGAGAGCAAAAGGUCACACUGACCAGAAUACAAUCAAGCUGCAAAAGCACAAUUAAGAGCUGGUAAAUAGUGAAAUUUAUUGUUUAACAGAAGACUCGAGCCAUAAGGUUAAAGGUUAAAUUGCAAGAGGAACAGCAGCUGGUUAGAAAAAAAAAAAGGUUUCUCUCCAAACUGUUUUGAAGCUUCAGAACUAAGAGAACUUAGCUUUUACUAAAUUCCUUUAAUUUGAAAAGGCCUUUCCUUCUAAAAAUCUAUCUAUGUUAUGUAUGAAAUAUAUUGGCUUAAAUGUGAUUAUGCAAAGGAUUUAGAAAGUAAGAAAUGUUAGAUUCUUAUGUUAGAUUCCUAUUAUGGUGGGUGAGAAGGUGAACUCAAGAUCUCUUUAAGAUAAAAAAAUUAGAAACCAUGCACCAUCUGCUUUAGCCAUCUGGUUUGCGGUGAAUAGGGCAACAGGGGCCAAAGGUUAUCUGGUAAUUGAGGUGCCUGGUCGAGGUAAAUGUAAGAUAUAUGGCUACUUGUCUGCCAUUUAUGGAUACAAGGAAAUAUAGCUUUUUGUCUCCCAUAAAAGGGAAUAGGAAAUGGGUGUAUCUUUUAUGAUUGGUUCUAGCAAACAGCCAAUAGGAAUUUCAACCAGGCUGAUUGGACAGAGGCAGCCAAAGGAGGAGCAAGGGGGCUGGGCUGAGGAAAUAUAAGUGCUGGCCAUCAGGGCUGGAGUAGGCAGAGCUUUGGUAUCCAUAUGCCACUGUGUCUCUCAUUUAUUUGUCUGACAAAUAAAUUAUUAUUUUAAUUUCUCUAUUGCUGCGUUGAAUAUUUCAUUCCAGCUAAGCGUUAACCACAAGCAAGGUGCUACAUUUUAUGGUGCCUCUGUGACUCGGAUAAGUGGUCUGCUGGAACGCAGCCCCUUCGCCUCUAGCGGGCAGGGUACAAGAGGGAGGACCACUGACCGCUUACCCAGCGCGCACUGGAACAUUUUUCCAGGGGAACGCAGAAGUCUCGUCUGUCUGAUACCCUGCUCACUGGCGGCGACGGACCGGGGGUAACCAGAGAAAUAAACAGGGAACCAGCUAAGGGUAAGUGCACAAAGGGGUUGUGGCCCUCCAAUUAAUUGGGAGGAAGAGAAGUCUUGAUCAAACUUAUGCGUCUCAGUAAGGGGGAACUGAGUACGCUAGGUGGUUGGGUACAUCAGAUGGUGGUCUGGUGGAGGGAAAAGGGAAAGAUUGGGAGGUAGAGUGUGGUGAAGUAUCCAGCGCAUUGUAUGUGUGAGAAAGUACAAUCUGUAGCUGACCUGAGUGUGGAGUGGGUAGUACUUCGGUUCCUAGUAAGGCGACUUCACUAGGCAAGGAUCCCCACGAAGCGUGUGUGUGAGUGACUGAGUGGAUACUUCACAGGGCCAUACAAUGGGAGUUGGAGGUUCAAAGGGGGAAAAUACACCUCUUGAAUGUAUGUUAAAUAAUUUUAAGAAAGCCUUCUCAGGAGCAUAUGGAGUCAAAAUGACGCCAGAGCGCUUGAGAACGUUAUGUGAAUUAGACUGGCCAAAACAAAAUACUGGAUGGCCACCUCAGGGAAGUUUUGAUAUAAAUUUAGCAAGCAAACUUUGGUCUAACAUCACCAAAGAAACUGGAGGGUGCCCAGAACAAUUUUCAUAUAUAGAUUCUUGGCUGAGCACAUUAAAUAAUAAUCCUCCAUGGAUAAGGGAAUGCAAAGUCCAACAAUGCAAAUUAUUGGCAGUAAAAGCCGAAGCUAGAAAAGGAAUCUUGCCAAAUAAACUCAAACCCAUUUUUGAGGGACCAGAGGAAGAGGUGCUUCCACCUCCACCCUAUGCUCCACAUCGAGGGGAGCCUAAUCCAAACACUCCACCAGUUGUAACCCCAAGGCAAGAAAGUGGAAGGAAUAAUGGGGCUGGAGUCACAGAGCUUGAUUCCUUGAUAGAUUAUGAUAAAUAUCUUCAGGAGGCAUUGGAGUCCUAUAAUAAAGCCCAAGCAGAAGUGGUUAUUCCACCUGUGAGUCCCAGUAGAACUCCAUCUACAGUCUCCUUCAGUGGAACAACUGAUUGCCCACUCCCAAACCCCUGUACAUCCAAGUCCUAGAGAACUAUUACAGGAGUUACAGGGAGACUUUGAUCGGUCAGUAAGCAAUACAGCCAGGCGUAUAAAGCUGUUAAAAGAACGCCUUGGGACAAAUACUAUCCCCUAUGAUUUGAGGCCCCUAAAGCAAAGCGAAGAGAAAGGUCACGUAGUAGCCCCUCUCAGAAGAGUAUUUGAUGCACUUGAGGAGCCUGUGCUGGUUAACGGGCAACUCGGACCACGGCCACCUCGAACUUCGACCCUCCAGUACAUUCCAUUCACAACUACGGAUCUGAUGAAUUGGAAAACACACACCCCAUCUUUCGCAGAAAAACCUCAGGCUAUGAUGGACUUGGUGACUUCAAUAGUAAAUACUCAUAGUCCUACUUGGACAGAUUGCCGCCAGCUCCUGAAUACUCUGUUCACCACUGAGGAAAGAAGAGACAUAAUUGAAAAGGCACAGAUAUAUUUGCGUGAGCAGGCCAGAGUGGGAAAUAUUCUUAAUGUUGACCGUCAUCUCCAGGACAAUUUUCCCUUGGAGGAUCCUAAUUGGGAUCCAAACAAUGCAAUUCACCUGGCCAGGCUUACCACCUACCGCCAGACGCUUGUGCAAGGUAUCCGCAGGGCAUGCCAGAAGCCCACUAAUAUGACUAAAGUCUCAGAAGUAGAACAGAAACCGAAUGAGAGUCCGGGAGACUUUUUAGAGAGGCUGCAGGAAGCCUAUCGUAUAUGGACUCCUUUUGACCCUGAAGCCCCUGCAAACAGCAGAAUGAUUACUGCUACUUUUGUGGCUCAGUGCGCUUCUGACAUUCGUAAGAAAAUUCAGAAGUCAGAAGGCUGGGAAGGGAUGCUGAUGAGCCAAAUUAUGGCCAUUGCACGCCGAGUUUAUCGGAAUAGGGAUGAGGCUGAGAAACAAGAGAAGAAGAAGUGGCAGAAGGAAAAGAUGGUGAUGCUAGCCACAGCAGUGAAGCAAGACUACCGCCCUUUAAAUGGAGGGAGAGGGCGGGGAAGGAAUCCACCACUGGGAAGGAAUCAAUGUGCGAAUUGCAAGAAGGAGGGUCAUUGGAAGCGGGAGUGUCCUGAACCCCUGAGGUUGGAAGAAGUACGCCCAGGCCCAGGCCCAGGCUCCGGCCCAAGAAACCAGGGACGGGGACGGGGAAUGAUCCGAGAUGGAAGAUAUCAGAGACCUGGACAAGGACGGAGUAGAGACAAUUUUAUUGGACUGGCAGAGGAGGAUUUUACCCAAGACUAGGAACGACCGGACUCCAUAAAGUUAGGCUUCCAGGAGCCCACGGUCAAAAUUCAAUUAGGGAGCCAUUUAAUAGACUUUAUGAUAGAUACUGGCGCUGAAUACUCAGUACUCCCAGAACUUUUGCAGAAAAAGGCAUCCAAAAGUGUAGUCAUUAAAAGUGCCACUGGUCAGUCAGCUAAGAGGUCUUUCCUCCAACCUUUAGAAUGCCAGAUUGGGGGACAUCAUUUAACCCAUCAGUUUUUGUAUAUACCUGAGUGUCCAAUGCCUCUCUUAGGUAGAGAUAUGCUGUCCAAAUUGCAGGCCCAAAUCACCUUCACUCCUCGAGGUCCAGAAAUGAAACUGCCAUCAAAGGCAGCAGGAAUAAUUUCCCUCUCAGUACCUAAGGAACAAUCAUGGCGCCUAAUGUCAGCCCUGCAAGUCCAACCCACAUUGGAUACAGAAUUAAACAAGCUCCUCCGAACCCUACAAGUGCCACCAGGAGUAUGGGCCGAAAAUAGCCCACCAGGAAUGGCUAAGAAUAUAGCUCCAAUUGUAGUAACCCUAAAACCUAUGGCUACCCCUGUAUCUGUAAAGCAAUAUCCUUUACCCCGGCGAGCAGCAGAAGGCAUCCAGAAACAUUUGGACCGCCUAUUAAAAUAUGGUCUGCUUAAGCCCUGCCAAUCAGAAUGGAACACACCCCUUUUGCCUGUUCGGAAGCCUGGGACAGAUGAAUACAGGCCAGUACAGGACUUGAGGCUCGUAAACCAGGCUAUCGAGACCUUGCACCCAAAUGUACCAAACCCAUAUACCUUGCUGAGUUUGAUCCCACCAGAAGCAACAUUUUUUACUGUAUUGGACUUGAAAGAUGCAUUCUUCUGUUGCCUGCUGGCACCUCAGCACAAAAGGCUGAACUUAUAGGUUUAACUAGAGCUCUGCAAUUGGCAGCCGGAUGUAAGGCAAACAUCUAUACUGAUUCUAAAUAUGCCUUCUUAACCCUGCAUGCACAUGGAGCUCUAUGGAAAGAAAGAGGUCUAAUUGGAGCCCAUGGGAAGGCCUUGAAAUAUGGACCUGAAGUAGAAAUCCUGUUGGAAGCAGUAUGGGCUCCAGAACAGAUUGCUGUAAUGCACUGCAAAGGUCAUGGACGUGGAAGGGAUCCAAUAACCAGAGGAAAUCAUGCUGCUGACAAAGCAGCCCGAGAGGCAGCCCAGAAGCCUGUGGGAGGAUUUAUAGCAGCCCUCAUACCAGAGGUAGUUCCAGAAGAAAUUAAACCUCACUAUACCCCAGAAGAGAGGAAGUGGGCUGAACAGGAAGGAGCGGUUGUGAAGGACGGUUGGAUGAUCCUGCCGGACAAUAGGAUUUAUGUACCUCAUCACCUGGCAGGCACAAUUGUAAGAAAUUAUCAUGAAUCUACUCACCUUGGCGGUACUGCAACCAGAGAGAGUCUCAGUCGGAAGUUGUAUAUUAUUAACCUAUCACAAUUAGCAACUUGCAUUUCACAGAAAUGUGUUCUUUGUGCUAAAAACAAUCCCAGGCAGGGACCGGUACAACCUCCUGGAAUCCAACAUGUGGGAUACGUCCCCAUGGAAAGCCUAAUUGUGGACUUCACAGAGCUGGUCCCUUCUAAGGGAUUCAAGUACCUCCUUGUGUUUGUAGAUACCCUUACCGGAUGGGUUGAAGCUUUUCCCACCAGGACUGAAAAGGCACGAGAGGUAACUAAGAGACUCCUCACUGAAUUGAUCCCGAGGUUUGGAUUACCUAGAUGCAUUGGAAGUGAUAAUGGGCCAGCGUUCAUUGAUCAAGUAGUACAAGAAGUAUGUCGAGUCCUACAAGUGAAAUGGAGACUGCAUGCAGCAUAUAGGCCUCAAAGUUCGGGGAAAACUGAAAGAAUGAAUCGGACUCUGAAAACCCAAUUGGCAAAAUUAACCCAGGAAACAGGAUUGGGAUGGGUAGAUGUGUUACCCAUAACACUGUUUCGUGUUCGGUGUGCACCCACAAAAAGACUUAAGUUGUCACCUUUUGAGCUCCUGUAUGGGAGGCCACCCUCCUUUGUUCAGGAUAUUCCAGCUGACCUCAAACAAAUAGGAGACCAUGUGACACAGGGACAAGUGCAAUCUCUCUCCCGUGUUUUUGUUUCUCUUAACAGGUGGGCCCCGAGCGCACGCCGUGCAGCAUUGCCGAGCCGAUUCAUCAGUUCCAGGCUGGCGAUAGCGUAUGGGUGAAAGAGUGGAAACGUGAUCCACUUGCACCUAAGUGGCGUGGGCCUUACACCGUCUUGCUCUCUACUCCAACAGCGGUGAAGGUAGCUGAGGUGACUCCCUGGAUUCAUCACUCCCGUUUGAAGAAGUCCGAAGGCAGUUGGACGUGCAAAGGUGACCCCUCUAAUCCUUUUAAACUGACUCUCUCCAAAAACCCCUGUAUCUAGCCCUACGGGGAACGGGCUAGGUCACGGGCAACAUUAGACGACCGGCCUGCUGCAGCCACAACCUGGAAGCUGGCUGACCUGCGCACGCCUGAAGCUUGAGGAGCGUCUGAACCAGCGAUUGUGAACAGGAAGAUUCUCUUAUACAAUUGAUUGACUGCCCCCUUGUGGAACAAUUAUCAGGGAUAUUACUCAUUGGGGAUCCUCGGGAUAUAUGUUUUGGUCUUGGUGGUUCCCCAUUUCUGUCAUUGGGGGAAUUAUAUUGGGCCUAAUAUUUUUUUGUUAUCACAAUAAGGUAAUCUUUUGUGGAAGAAAUGCAUAUACUAGACAUCAACAUGAUUUUAUUAUUAAUCCUGAUCCCUUGGGAAGGGGAAGGGUCCUUGAAUCUGACCAAAUUUGCUAAAUAUGGAUUCCGCCAUGACCACAAUAUGUGGGUAGGCUUAGCUGAGAUGGUAGCCAAUGUUACAAAUAGGACCAAUUGCCUUGUUUGCUCUCUUGGACCAGAUGAUUCAGAGGGAGGUAUGCCCUUAUUACCGAUACCAUUAAAUGCCAUUGGUAUGGUGAGCGAAAUGCCACACCAAACAGAAGUACAGAAUUUCCCGGAUGGAACUCAACUAAACCAAUACGAGUUAUACCUGUGCAAGGGGAAUUCUGUGUACAUAAAUUAUCAGCUGCAGCUGAUUCUAUCAUGAUAGGCUCUUCUCAUUGCCACUAUACUUGGGAUUAUAUUAAGAAUAGUCAAACCUGGGCAAACGGUACUACCUAUCGAACUCGGAAUACCUUGCCCUGUGCACCUCCUUUUAUUCAUGCAUGGAAACUGGUGUGGAACAUAACUGUGACAGAAAAAGGCAAUCUAACAUACUGCACUGUGAACUCUAUGCCCCUUUUGAUAUUUCGCCUUAUGCACUCCACGUACCAAAACCUCAGACCCGAUGGUUGUGGUGGAUAUGUGGAGAAUGGGCAUACAAGCAACUCCCUCCCAAAUGGAGUGGGACUUGUUUCCUGGGAUGGGUAUUACCACCAAUGUGGAUUAUGCCCACUAGUUCGGCAAAGCGUACACGAAGAAAUGCUGAUAUUUCUCAUAUAGCAGGAGGAAGUACCCAAAGUUGGAGUGAUACUGAUGAUUGGCCACCAGAGCGCAUUAUAGCCUAUUAUGAGCCUGCCUCCUGGAAUCCUGAUGAGCUCAUACAAGGGGCACGGGAUCCUAUUUAUAAUCUAAACAGAAUAAUUCGAUUGCAAGCAGUAGUGGAACUUGUAACCAAUGCAACGGCCCAGAGUUUGAGACUUAUUGCACAACAGUUGGAUGAAAGUAGAGCCGCCAUUUUGCAGCUGAAAAUGGGAAUGGAUUAUGUACUUGCCAGGCAGGGAGGCCUAUGUGGAGUCUUAAACUUGACAGGGAAUGCCUGUUGCUUUAACAUUUCUGAUAAUGGUGAGGCAAUCCGUGUGUUGGCCACAAAGAUGGAGAGUAUAGCACAUGUCCCAGUACAAAUAUGGGAAGGAUGGGAUAUGGGAUGGCUCACCAAUUGGUUACCUAAUGUUGCGGGACUCAAAGGGAUACUAUUGUCUUGCUUGUUUUUCUUGACGGUAGUAGUAAUGGUUUUAUGUACGGUGCCAUGUAUCAUUUCAUGUUUUAGAAGUACAAUUAGCAAGAUGAUUUCAAAUGAAACUUUACCUCAUAUUAUGGCCCUAUACAGAGCUUUACCUCAGGAAUAUGACGAAGGUCAAGCUAUCAAGGACACUUGGGAUGAAGGUCCUUGAGCUUGAAAGGGGGGAAUGAGGCAUCUGAUCAAGAUCUGCUUUGAGCUUAAAAAAUAUAUUUGUAGAUAUUUUUAUCUCUCAUGCCAGGGAAGAUCAGCUGAAUACUCUGGCAGCUGUUCAAGGGGCCCCACUGCUAUAAAUAAAAGUAUUUCAAGGUUGUAAAAGGAAAUUAGAGCCAGAGAGCAAAAGGUCACACUGACCAGAAUACAAUCAAGCUGCAAAAGCACAAUUAAGAGCUGGUAAAUAGUGAAAUUUAUUGUUUAACAGAAGACUCGAGCCAUAAGGUUAAAGGUUAAAUUGCAAGAGGAACAGCAGCUGGUUAGAAAAAAAAGGUUUCUCUCCAAACUGUUUU